UACGAAGGGGGCUAGCGUUGUUCGGAAUUACUGGGCGUAAAGCGCACGUAGGCGGGUCUGUAAGUAGAGGGUGAAAUCCCAGGGCUCAACCCUGGAACUGCCUUCUAGACUGCAGGCCUCGAGGUCAGGAGAGGCGAGUGGAAUACCGAGUGUAGCAGUGAAAUGCGUAGAGAUCGGGAGGAACAUCAGUUGCGAAGGCGGCUCUCUGGACCAGCACUGACACUGAGGCACGAAAGCGUGGGGAGCAAACAGG
rnacentral:rRNA from 1 species